UCCUCCGAACCCUCCGCUGCCCCCCUCCCCCCAUCUCUGCCAAUCAACCCUACAUGGGUCACACCUUCUCAUUAAUCGCCUCUUCUACUGGACAAGGGCAAACGCUCUUGCUUUCUACUGGCUGCGCCGUGUCGUCUAUCACAAGCCGGGUACCUCGUUAUUGGGCAAUAGAAGGAUAAAGGCGAGGGUCACGGCUUCCUUUAACCCAAUCAGCGUGUUCGGGUGGACGCCUCCGGCUUCCCACCUUCACGCCUUAGCAACAAUCUUACGUCACAUUUGAAAGGCGUUCGUAUUGUCCAACUGAAGCAUCCUGUCGUGUUUAAAAAUAAACCAAUGGUGGCCAAUCACUUACCAAAGUACUCAGACCAAUGAGAAUGGAGAGAACCCGAGCUGAAGGCACACCUCGCGAACAAAAUGAGCGCCGGUGAAUACAGUUCCUCAUUGGGUAGCGAGGAAAACCACGCCCUCUCCAUGUAACCGAAAGGAUCACACUGCUUGACAACAGCGACUUCUUGCAAUUGGCUGUUGGAGGAAAUAAAGAACACUGACUGGAAAAAUACAUUACUUGAAAUGGCACUCAUUCUCUAAACGCCUGCCUACAGGCAGUAAUGGGUUGGAUGAGGGAUAACAGAUUGAAGCUGAAUCCAAGCAAGAUGGAAGUGCUCAUUUGGGGAACUCAGAAUCUGAGGGGCAAUGCACUUUGAUCCUGCUUCCUCAGAGACCCACACUGAAAAUCUACAAGGAUCUAAGUAACACUUACUGUGGUUUCUAGUGCCAUUUUACUGAUUAUUUUUGCUAUUUUAGAUGAUUAUAGGUUAGUUAUUGAUUGUUUUUACUGUGCUUUACUCUUUUUUUAGUGGAAGUAUUAUGAACCACUUUGAAUUUGUUGCAUAGGAAAGCAAUAGCAUAUUUUAAAUAAAUGAAAAAAUGUUAUAAAAUAGUGCAUAUGCAAUAUAUGUACAGGUGUUAAUGGCUUGAGAAGAAUGCAUAUGAAGCUGUAUGG